CCAGACCAGCCUGGCCAAUAUGGUGAAUCCCUGUCUCUACUAAAAAUACAAAAAUUAGCCAGUUGUGGUGGCACACAUCUGUAGUCCCAGCUACUCGGGAGGCUGAGGCAGGAGAAUUGCUUGAACCUGGGAGGUGGAGGCAGUGAGCCGAGAUUGCACCACUGCACUCCAGCCUGGGCGACAGAGUGAGGCUCCGUCUAAAAACAAAACAAAAAGAUGUGUCCCUUGUCACAACCAGCAUUCCACUCACCUCAUUGGCCAGAACACGGUCACCUGAUCACACCUGGCUGCAAGGGUUGCUGGGAAAUGUAGUCUUUCAUAUUUGCAAGCGUAGCCAGGUGUGGUGGCAGGCACCUGUAAUCGCAGCUACUUGGAAGGCCGAGGUGGGAGAAUCGCUUGAACCCGGGAGGCAGAGGUUGCAGUCAGCCAGGAUCAUGCCAUUGUACUCCAGCCUGGGCAACAGAGCCAGACUCCAUCUCAAAAAAAAAAAAAAAAAAAAAAAAAAAAAGCCAAGGCGUGAAUUUCUCCUCCUUCUCCUCUUCCAUAACCUGCUGUGGCUCCCCAUUGCCAGGCAGUGUAGAGUUCUGAAUACCUUGUGCUGGAAGCUGAAGCCCUUCCUGCCCCAGCCCUGAAUCACCUCUCCAACUUCAGCCCCUCCUGCUCCUGCUGCAGCCCCCAAAACACUUGCAUUUUCUCCUAAACUCAUGGGCUCUUCCCAGCACCCAGGCCUUUGUUUACCCCUUCUGUCUGAUCUUCCCUCUCACCCUUCAAGAAACUGCUUAGCCUCCUCCAGGAAGCCCUUC
rnacentral:lncRNA from 1 species